GAGAUGAAAGGGCAAAAAAUCAGUUCUGCUCGUUUCUAUCUUUGCAAUGGGUGAAAAGGAGUAGCUGUUCUUCUCAAAAUCUCGCAGUAGGAAACCGCUAUGUCACUCUUUGAGCGAUCAUUGGGUCUCAGAUUCUGGAAAUAUAAAAUUUGUUCGAGGUCUGCAGGCUUAUUUGCAACUGAGGGAUCAUUCAAUUUUGAAGUCUGAGUUUCAACAUGGGAAUGAGAAGAUAACUUUCAGUUGCAUCGAAAAUCUGCCUCCUUUUAGUUUGGUAUUGGGGGAACACGUGUUCUUGACAGUUGGAGAUUAUUUUUCUUAGACAAAGAAAUCUGGGUGACAUGAUUGGUAUAUAUGGAUCUUAUCAUUUUUCUCCUGGUACAAUGCUCCUUUGCCCUAAAAUAUCUGGGUGUCACAUGCAGGCAGUUAUAAUUCUCAUCCAUUUUGUUGUACAGACAUUUACUAGGGGAAACUAGCGCCAAUUAGUCAGAUGCUUGUUUCAGUGGCUUUGCCGUUCAAGUAAUGAUAUCAUUUACACUAGAUUAGAUGUUCUAGCCGUGUACACAAAUCACCAUUUUUUCUGUCUUUUGCUUUAUGUUGUUUUACUUUUAUUCUCCGAUUUUGCACAUUGUAAUGAUGAAUAAGAGGUUUUCCCAAUAGGGUUGGGUAACGGAGUGACUUUGCUUUGAAAGAGUUCAUCGUCGUUAAAGAAAGAAAGAAAAAAAAAAAUUGAUUAUAUCUUUUACCUUAAAUCUAGCCCCUUGGGAGUGCAAUCAUUUGAUAUGGAGUCUCAUUUUUUUAUAACCUUGUGUAUAUUUCAUUUGUUGAAGCAAUUGUUCCAGGUGGUGAUAAGAACAGAAGAGAAAUGCAGAUUACACCCCCAAAGGGACUCCUUGAGUUAAAUUUACAGUUUGAUGAGAGGUCCAAGAAAGAAAGAAGACAGCUUGUGAGGCAUACUCAUUUGUACUUCUACCAAUUAAAUAAAGUUCUCAAGUAAUAUCAACUUUCUCUGAAGAUUAAAUUCAUGCAUGCAUUAGGGCAAUGUUAUAUGUUUUCAUUUCCAUUAAUCAAUAAUCUACAGAUUCUUUUGGGUCAUGUUAUUUCCUUAAUUGCUUGCUCUCUCUAUGUAGAUACCGAUCGAUUUCCAAAAUGAUAUUUAUCUGCAAGGUCAAUGAACUUGCUUUAUAACAGAUGUGUUUGAGGGAAGGCAAUUGUUCCGUGGCGCUUGAAAGAUCUUCUCAUAGCUUCAGUACAGAAGGGAACUCCUAACCAUGCUAUGGGGUGGUUCUAGGUGAAUUGUGUGUUUCUAUGGAUGUUGGAACUGAAACUGGUUUACUUUUUUAAGUGUCCACUGCCCGAUGUUUGUUAUAGUUUGAAUGACAAAGAUCAACUUCUCUAGGUUUAUUUCUUUUCUAAGCCAAUAGUCUUAUGUUUUGUUCUAAACGGCAGCAGUUUUCCUUUCUUUUUUUUUGGGUCCCUUAGAGAUUUGUGAACCUUGAUUUGAAUAUCAGUGAAUAUUUCGCAUACGGUACCUGUAGAAUUUUUGUAUAUAUAUA